rnacentral:lncRNA from 1 species
AAAAUCUCUCUUACAACGCAAUUUUGCAUGAGUUUAUGUGUAUCUUUUUAUGCGCUGAUCUUAAAAUUUGCCAAUCUGCUAAGAUCAUAACUUAGCAAUGUACAAACCCAGUGCGAAGUGAGAUCAUGGUAGGAACAAAUCUCUUUUUAAUUGAUUGAAUACCUUAUUAGCACCCUUACCUGAUGUGUAUCUUUUUAUGUGCUGAUCUUAAAAUUUGCCAAUCUGCUAAGAUCAUAACUUAGCAAUGUACAAACCCAGUGCGAAGUGAGAUCAUGGUAGGAACAAAUCUCUUUUUAAUUGUUUGAAUACCUUAUUAGCACCCUUACCUGAUGAGUUUGACUUGUGUAAUAUGUAUUCAUAUGUUCACGUGAAAUUUGAAAGUUUAAACUUAGACAAGUUAUACCAUUUGCCUCAACAGUUGCUUAAAUUUGAACUCUUCAUUAACUGGUAAAAUCUGAUUACUUUAUUAUCUAUCAAAGUUUGGUCUUCAUGUAGAAAGAAUGUUUAAAAUAGUACUGGGACAUUAUGUUUCUUUAAUGAUUCAUAAGUUUCAUUUCUU